GAUGAACGCUGGCGGCGUGCCUAAUACAUGCAAGUCGAGCGAACAGAUGAGGAGCUUGCUCCUCUGACGUUAGCGGCGGACGGGUGAGUAACACGUGGAUAACCUACCUAUAAGACUGGGAUAACUUCGGGAAACCGGAGCUAAUACCGGAUAAUAUAUUGAACCGCAUGGUUCAAUAGUGAAAGACGGUUUUGCUGUCACUUAUAGAUGGAUCCGCGCCGCAUUAGCUAGUUGGUAAGGUAACGGCUUACCAAGGCAACGAUGCGUAGCCGACCUGAGAGGGGGAUGGGCCACACGGGAACUGAGACAGGGUCCAGACCCCUACGGGAGGCAGCAGGAGGGAAUUUUCCGCAAGGGGCGAAAGCCUGAGGGAGCAACGCCGGGUGAGUGAUGAAGGUCUUCGGAUCGUAAAACUCUUUUAUUAGGGAAAAAAAAAUGUGUAAGUAACUAUGCACGUCUUGACGGUACCUAAGCAAAAAGCCACGGCUAACUACGU
rnacentral:rRNA from 1 species